rnacentral:rRNA from 1 species
CAUAUCACUAAGCGGAGAAAAAGAAAAUAACAAUGAUUCCUAAAGUAACGGCGAGUGAAAUAGGAAAAGCCCAUAGCCGAAUUCUGUCGUCGCUACUGGCGAUUGGAAGUUGUGGCGUUGGGAACUGUCAACAAUAACUGGUGUAUCUGGUUACGCGACUCCUCUUGAUUGUGGUUUGUCCGUAGCAGGUGCAAGGCCUAUUGACGUAGUCACAGAUUACCAGUGAAGGCAGUCCUUAGAGUCGGGUUGUUUGGGAUUGCAGCCCGAAGCAGGUGGUAAACUCCACCCAAGGCUAAAUACGAUGGCGAGUCCGAUAGCAAACAAGUACCAUGAGGGACAGUUGAAAAGAACUUUGAAGAGAGAGUUCAAAGUACGUGAAACCGUUCAGAGGUAAACAGGUGGAAAGUCGAAUGUGAAAUUGAUAAUCAGGUCAAGGUAAACUGAUGCUUGCUUGUAAUACUUUAUAGAUUGCUAGCUCGCAGAAGGCUAACUCUGGCCGUACUUGUCAUUUCAGGUCGCUGCUGUAAUGGUGUACUACCGGCUGGGCUUGCUCCUAUAGCUUGCGCUAAACCGUUUGGUUGAUGCGUUUGCUCAUGAGUUUGUCACCCGUGUUUAGCCACCAUUAUUGAAUAGCCUAUGUGUUCUUGCUGAUUCGUUUGUACGUUGAAUGGGCAUGUUGAUUCGAAAUGAUUCAGAUGUCUACUUUGGGGUGCAUCUUGUCAGUGUUUUGACAGAACAAAGGUUACGCGGCGUUGGAUUGCGAAUUAUCUGCCUGACCCGUCUUGAAACACGGACCAAGGAGUCCAACUUGUACGCGAGCUAUUGGAUGUACGAAAAUGAAAUCCAUAAGCGUAGUGAAAGCAUGAGGUGAGAUCUGGCGUUGUUUUCAUUGAAAAGGGCGCUAGCGCAUCAUCGUCACGCCGCAAUUCGGCCAAGGCUGAUGCGGCGAAGACAGAGCGUACAUGUUGGGACCCGAAAGAUGGUGAACUAUGCGAGGCGAGGUCGAAGCCAGAGGAAACUCUGGUGGAGGACUGUAGCGGUUCUAACGUGCAAAUUGAUCGUCGCAGCUUCGUAUAGGGGCGAAAGACUAAUCGAACCAUCUAGUAGCUGGUUCCCUCCGAAGUUUCCCUCAGGAUAGCUGGCACUUUCGGAGAGCAGUUUUGUCCGGUAAAGCGAAUGACUAGAGGCCUUGGGGACAUAACGACCUCAACCUAUUCUCAAACUUUGAAUGGGCAAGAAGAAGGGCUCGCUUGUUUGGAGUCUCUUCAUUGUGAAUGCUCGAGUGCCAAGUGGGCCAUUUUUGGUAAGCAGAACUGGCGCUGUGGGAUGAACCAAACGUUGAGCUAAGGCGCCAAAUGCUAACGCUCAUCCGAUCCCAUUAAAGGUGUUGGUUGAUAGAGACAGCAGGACGGUGGCCAUGGAAGUCGGAAUCCGCUAAGGAGUGUGUAACAACUCACCUGCCGAAUCAACCAGUCCUGAAAAUGGAUGGCGCUAAAGCGUUGAAAGCCUAUGCUCGACCGGCGUUGCAAAUUGUCACGUUCAUCGUCAAGCAAUGCCGAGUAGGAGGGUCACUGUGGUGUGCAUUGAAGCUUUGGGCGAGAGCCCGAGUCGAGCCGCCAUAGGUGCAGAUCUUGGUGGUAGUAGCAAAUAUUCAAACGAGAACUUUGAAGGCCGAAGUGGAGAAGGGUUCCAUGUGAACAGCACUUGAACAUGGGUCAGUCGGUCCUAAGCGAUAGGCAAAUGCCGUUCUGAAAGCAGGCCGUGUUUCAUAUAGUUUAUUGUAUAUGAUAAAAUACAGCGCCUGAUUUAGGUCGAAAGGGAAUCGGGUUAAUAUUCCCGAACCUGGACGCGGAGAUUGAGUGCACUCUGUGUGCUCUGUGCGGCAACGCAAACGAUCUCGGAUUCGUCGGCGGAAGUCCUGGGAAGAGUUCUCUCUUCUUUGUAAGGGGCAAAUUCCCUGGAAUCGGCUUAGCCGGAGAUAGGGAUAUUGCAUUCACCCGUAAAGCACCACACUUCUUGUGGUGUNUCCGGUGCACAACUGUCGGCACUUGAAACUCCGAGUUAGACUUGAUACAUUUUCGCGCCAGGCCGUACCCAUAUCCGCAGCAGGUCUCCAAGGUGAACAGCCUCUGGUCUUAGACUGAUGUAGUCAAGGGAAGUCGGCAAAUUGGAUCCGUAACUUUGGGAAAAGGAUUGGCUCUAUGGGUUGGGUCGUGACGGGCUGUGCUAGAAAGCGAUGCCUGCUACUAAUGCUUCGGGUGCGAUUGGUAACGAUCGUGCCUAGCGUUGGUUGGCGGCGCGUGGCCUGGCAUGGCUUCACCGAUAGCUCCUCGGAGUUGUCGGCAUCGUCCGACGAAAAGCAACCAUCAUAGAAC